UGCCAGCAGCCGCGGUAAUGCGGAAGGGGCUCGCGUUGUUCGGAAUCACUGGGCGUAAAGCGCGUGUAGGUGGUCUACCAAGUCAGGGGUGAAAUCCCGGGGCUCAACCCCGGAACUGCCCUUGAAACUGGUAAACUAGAGAUCGAGAGGGGAUGACGGAAUUCCUAGUGUAGAGGUGAAAUUCGUAGAUAUUAGGAGAAACACCGGUGGCGAAGGCGGUCAUCUGGCUCGAUACUGACACUGAGACGCGAAAGCGUGGGGAGCAAACAGGAUUAGAUA
rnacentral:rRNA from 1 species